CCGCGGGAUUCAUGGCUCAGAUUGAACGCUGGCGGCAGGCUUAACACAUGCAAGUCGAACGGUAACAUAAACUAGCUUGCUAGUUUGAUGACGAGUGGCGGACGGGUGAGUAAUGCUUGGGAAUAUGCCUUGGAGUGGGGGACAACAGUUGGAAACGACUGCUAAUACCGCAUAAUGUGCUUUUUGUAGAGAAAAGUACCAAAGGGGGGGCUCUUCGGACCUCUCGCUUCUUGAUUAGCCCAAGUGAGAUUAGCUAGUUGAUGAGGUAAUGGCUCACCAAGGCGACGAUCUCUAGCUGGUUUGAGAGGAUGAUCAGCCACACUGGGACUGAGACACGGCCCAGACUCCUACGGGAGGCAGCAGUGGGGAAUAUUGCACAAUGGGCGAAAGCCUGAUGCAGCCAUGCCGCGUGUGUGAAGAAGGCCUUCGGGUUGUAAAGCACUUUCAGUUGUGAGGAAAGGGUGUUGGUUAAUAGCCAACAUCUGUGACGUUAACAACAGAAGAAGCACCGGCUAACUUCGUGCCAGCAGCCGCGGUAAUACGAGGGGUGCAAGCGUUAAUCGGAAUUACUGGGCGUAAAGCGUUCGUAGGCGGUUUGUUAAGCAAGAUGUGAAAGCCCAGGGCUCAACCUUGGAACUGCAUUUUGAACUGGCAAACUAGAGUACUGUAGAGGGGGGUAGAAUUUCA
rnacentral:rRNA from 1 species